rfam:Triticum aestivum genome assembly, contig: Triticum_aestivum_CS42_TGACv1_scaffold_211647_3AS
CUACUACCCCCUCCGUUCGGAAUUACUUGUCUCGGAUAUGGAUGUAUCUAGAACUAAAAUACGUCUAGAUACAUCCAUUUUUGAGACAAGUAAUUCUGAACGGAGGGAGUAGUAU